rnacentral:lncRNA from 1 species
GUUAGUGGUUUAUUAGGUACUGUAUUGAUUCAGUUUUUCUGAGGCUUCUGGCCUUUUUUGUGGCACACUUUCAUGGGAGCAGUUCUGGGUGACCAGGGAACCCCUGGGUUUGCCACUGUAAUGGUAAAUUUUUUUGUUGUGGGGGGGGGGAGUUCCGGGCAACCAGGAAACCCCCCUGGAUUUGCCACUGAGUGCAAGCACCCAUUGGCUGCCCAUGGGUGUGCUGAGAAAGUCCUGUGGAUGAGGUAUCAACUGGGUGCCAACAUGUCUUCCAGAAUGCGGUACUGGUAGCACUAUGUCUAUGAGCAGCAGUGGCUGAGGACCGACUGCUCAUCUCCACUAUGCUCAACCUGAUAGGUACCCACACAAGAAGAAAUUGGGUGCAGUUAACUGCGGGCUUCUGGCUGGCCAGGAGUGACAUUGAUGCAUGAGCAGUAUGGGCAGUUGCCCCAUUCUGUUGGAACCAGCUUGAUGGAGUACUACUCUCCUCUCUGGGCUGGUGCCCCUGCUUCACACCUUUCUCAGCUUGACGCAAUGGAAACUAAGGCCUUAAAGAUCAUUGGAAUCUCCCACGAUGAAGCUGAUUCUAUGGACCGAUCACUUUGCCAUCGCAGACAGGGCACACGCAGUCCACCAGCAACUUUCAUAUGGUGAACAUUCCAAAAUUCAGAUCACCUCCACUCAUCCAUUCCUCUUUAUCCCUGCCUGUGGAACCAAGUUCCCCAUCCUCUUCAAUCUCGUUUUUCCCUCCAGGUCUUCAAGACAGCUGUUCAUCACCAUCUCAAAUAAUCCCUCAUCCAAAAUCAUGGUAUUUUCUACCUCCAUUAACCCCCCCCCCCACAAUCCCACUACUCUCUCCCCAAGCCCAC